GGAAAACCAACGCAUGGUCAAAAGGUAGAACCAUGGUGUGCCCUCUUCCAACUUGAGUCAGAUUCGGCCGCCCCAGCCUCGGAUCCGGCCACCCCGGCCUCGCAUCUGGCCUCCACCGCCCAUCUGGAUCCCUCCACGUCGUUGGGCACCACCAGCAGGCGGUGGUCAUAAACAUGCCGAGACCGCCUCUGCAUCCACGCAUGGAGGUCACCGUCGCUAGGACACUACCUACCUAAGGAGGAGGAGGUGCAGUUCUCCCCCCUGGACUUUAGGCUGCUCGAUGCUGGUUGCGGCCUCGACCACCACCCGUGCUCCGACCACUGCAUCAUCGUCUAUCUCAUGGCAUGUACACAAUAGUGCAGUGUUUGUAUUUUUUUAUUAGUUGAUGUAUGCAGUGGUGGUCAUUGUGUUAAAUAUAUUGUAAUGGUGGUAGUCUAGUAGAAAUUUUGAUCAAAUUGGAACUUUUUCAUAUGCUUAUAGAACUUUCCUAUGAACAUUCAAAGGGAUUUUAGCACGGCUGCUGUUGGCACUUUGUAUCAAUACCAUGUAAUUAGUGUAUGCAUGAACUAUAUGUUAAAAUGACAGGGAUUUCUAACACUUAAUGUGAAAAAGAGCACUUUCCUGAAUGGUGGGAAUUUUGGCACCUUGGAUAGAUAGUUAGUAGGAUGGAUCUUGGUUAUAAUUAUAAUACUCCUAAGAUGUAACUGGUCAUUAAUCAUAACUGACAUGCUGGAUGCAUGGAUAUUUUAGUGCCCUAGAUAGAUAGUCUACUGUCUGCCAAUUUUAGUUAAAUGUUCACAGCUUGGUGAUGAGUGCUAAUCUAGCAAAUUCUUCUGAUGUUUGGUACAGCUGAGUUUUUAAGGCUGGCCUCUUUGAUUUAUAGGACUUCUAUUCUUAGCCCAUUGAGCUUGUUUGAUUUGUAUGAUAACAUUUGUUUUUGUAGGACAUUGGUAACUUCACUUUUCAGUAUUGAAGCUUCAUUCACCUGAACUGGAUCCUUUGGGCAUUGAUAUCUGCUGCAUAAUAUAUGUAGACGAAGGAAAUUUGAUCUGGGUAUAAGGUGAUGUUGUCGGCAAUGGCAGGACACCCGUGCCGAUGGACAAUGAGCAAAAAUUGCAUGAAAAUCCAUGACUUCUGGGUCUAUCCUCCAUAGAUGCUGCCAGAGAAAUUAUUAGGAUCUCCGAUGGUUCUGAUGUCGACCAAUCUGUCUCCACUAAAGAAUGCCAUUGACACUUGAAGUUAAAUGGAAGAAGCUCAAGCUUAACUUUUUCAUAUGUGGAGAACACAUCUUGUAUUAAGGAUGUGGGCGCAAUAAAUCCCUCCAAAACAAUUCGGUACAGGGACUUGCGAGGUGACAGUUUGGUAAACUUGCUACCAUUCUAUCCAUCAACUCUUUCUAGGUCACCGGUGUAAUUCUUUUGCUUGCGCAACUUUCAAGAGGUGUGUUUUGUGAGCUAAAAGGAUCUUCUGCUGGGAUCUUUUUCGAACUGAAACCAGAUGUUGUAUUUUGCGCUUUUCUCUCGUAUGCAAUACUGGACCUAUGAACCUACAUAUGUAUGCCUAUGUGUGCAUGGGAAUAGUGGAAUACAUGAAGGAUUGUUGUGCUGUAAUACUGGGCUUGUGAAACUAUGUAUGUUUGUAGACAUGAUGGAUUCUUGAGAUACAUUUAAACCGGUUGCUCUGAGCCUAGGUGCCACAACCCUUGGUAUUUGAGCCGCGUUGACUGUAUAACACGCUA